GGGAAACAAUCAGGGGGGCCACCUCAGGCCCCGAGACAAAUUUAUGGGGUG
rfam:Cricetulus griseus cell line CHO-K1, whole genome shotgun sequence.